rnacentral:rRNA from 1 species
UAGGGAAUCUUCCGCAAUGGACGCAAGUCUGACGGAGCAACGCCGCGUGAGUGAAGAAGGGUUUCGGCUCGUAAAACUCUGUUGUUAAGGAAGAAUGACAGGCAGAGUAACUGCUGCGUGUGUGACGGUACUUAACCAGAAAGCCACGGCUAACUACGUGCCAGCAGCCGCGGUAAUACGUAGGUGGCAAGCGUUAUCCGGAAUUAUUGGGCGUAAAGCGCGCGUAGGCGGUUUUUUAAGUCUGAUGUGAAAGCCCCCGGCUCAACCGGGGAGGGUCAUUGGAAACUGGGGAACUUGAGUGCAGAAGAGGAGAGUGGAAUUCCAUGUGUAGCGGUGAAAUGCGCAGAGAUAUGGAGGAACACCAGUGGCGAAGGCGGCUCUCUGGUCUGUAACUGACGCUGAUGUGCGAAAGCGUGGGGAUCAAACAGG